GGACGGGUGAGUAACGCGUGGGUAACCUACCUUAUACCGGGGGAUAACAGUUAGAAAUGACUGCUAAUACCGCAUAAGCGCACAGUAUCGCAUGAUACAGUGUGAAAAACUCCGGUGGUAUAAGAUGGACCCGCGUCUGAUUAGAUAGUUGGUGAGGUAACGGCCCACCAAGUCAACGAUCAGUAGCCGGCCUGAGAGGGUGAACGGCCACAUUGGGACUGAGACACGGCCCAAACUCCUACGGGAGGCAGCAGUGGGGAAUAUUGGACAAUGGGGGAAACCCUGAUCCAGCGACGCCGCGUGAGUGAAGAAGUAUUUCGGUAUGUAAAGCUCUAUCAGCAGGGAAGAAAAUGACGGUACCUGACUAAGAAGCCCCGGCUAACUACGUGCCAGCAGCCGCGGUAAUACGUAGGGGGCAAGCGUUAUCCGGAUUUACUGGGUGUAAAG
rnacentral:rRNA from 1 species